rnacentral:rRNA from 1 species
AUUGAACGCUGGCGGCAUGCCUUACACAUGCAAGUCGAACGGUAACAGGUCUUCGGAUGCUGACGAGUGGCGAACGGGUGAGUAAUACAUCGGAACGUGCCUAGUAGUGGGGGAUAACUACUCGAAAGAGUGGCUAAUACCGCAUGAGAUCUACGGAUGAAAGCAGGGAAUCGCAAGACCUUGUGCUACUAGAGCGGCCGAUGGCAGAUUAGGUAGUUGGUGGGAUAAAAGCUUACCAAGCCGUCGAUCUGUAGCUGGUCUGAGAGGACGAUCAGCCACACUGGGACUGAAACACGGGCCAGACUCCUACGGGAGGCAGCGGUGGGGAAUUUUGGACAAUGGGCGCAAGCCUGAUCCAGCAAUGCCGCGUGCAGGAUGAAGGCCUUCGGGUUGUAAACUGCUUUUGUACGGAACGAAAAGCCCCGGGUUAAUACCCUGGGGUCAUGACGGUACCGUAAGAAUAAGCACCGGCUAACUACGUGCCAGCCGCCGCAGUAA